UACGGAGGGGGCUAGCGUUGUUCGGAAUUACUGGGCGUAAAGAGCGUGUAGGCGGCCCGGUAAGUCCGUUGUGAAAGUCGAGGGCUCAACCCUCGAAUGCCGGCGGAUACUGUCGGGCUAGAAUCCGGAAGAGGCGAGUGGAAUUCCUGGUGUAGCGGUGAAAUGCGCAGAUAUCAGGAGGAACACCAAUGGCGAAGGCAGCUCGCUGGGACGGUAUUGACGCUGAGACGCGAAAGCGUGGGGAGCAAACAGG
rnacentral:rRNA from 1 species